CAAAGCAGGCAGAUCCAAUUUUCUGCCACCGAAUACAUUAGCAUGGGAUAAUGGAAUAGGACCCUGUCCUCCUAUUUUCAGUUGGUUUUGGCAGCGCGAGGACUAGGGUAAUGAUUAAUAGGGAUAGUUGGGGGCAUUAAUAUUUAAUUGUCAGAGGUGAAAUUCUUGGAUUUAUGAAAGAUUAACUUCUGCGAAAGCAUCUGCCAAGGAUGUUUUCAUUAAUCAAGAACGAAAGUUAGGGGAUCGAAGACGAUCAGAUACCGUCGUAGUCUUAACCAUAAACGAUGCCGACCAGCGAUUAGGAGACGUUGAAUACAAAACACCACCAUCGGCGCGGUCGUCCUUGGCGUCUGUCCCUUUCAACGGGGGCAGGCG
rnacentral:rRNA from 1 species